CAGCAGCCGCGGUAAUACGUAGGUCCCGAGCGUUGUCCGGAUUUAUUGGGCGUAAAGCGAGCGCAGGCGGUUGUGUAAGACAGGUGUGAAAUCCCCGGGCUUAACCUGGGAACUGCGCUUGUGACUGCACAGCUAGAGUAUGGCAGAGGGGGGUGGAAUUCCACGUGUAGCAGUGAAAUGCGUAGAGAUGUGGAGGAACACCGAUGGCGAAGGCAGCCCCCUGGGCCAAUACUGACGCUCAUGCACGAAAGCGUGGGGAGCAAACAGGAUUAGAUACCCCCGUAGUCCCUGUCUCUUAUAC
rnacentral:rRNA from 1 species